rnacentral:rRNA from 1 species
GGGGGGGGGGGGGGGGGGGCCGGGGGGGGGCAGGGCGGGCGAGGAGAGGGGGGGCGUGCUCCGCUGCCGUUGGCGGCGGACGGGGGAGUGACGCGGGGGGAACCUACCUAUCGGACUGGGCUGAGUUCGGGACACCGGAGCUGAUACCGGAUACGAUAUUAACCCGCAGGGUGCAACAGUGACAGACGGUAUUGCUGUGCCUUAUAGAUGGAUCCGCGCCGCAUUAUCUAGUUGUUAAGGUAACGGCUUACCAAGGCAACGAUGCGUAGCCGACCUGAGAGGGUGAUCGGCCACACUGGAACUGAGACACGGUCCAGACUCCUACGGGAGGCAGCAGUAGGGAAUCUUCCGCAAUGGGCGAAAGCCUGACGGAGCAACGCCGCGUGAGUGAUGAAGGUCUUCGGAUCGUAAAACUCUGUUAUUAGGGAAGAACAAAUGUGUAAGUAACUAUGCACGUCUUGACGGUACCUAAUCAGAAAGCCACGGCUAACUACGUG